AUUUCUUCUCAUGCCCUUUGGCUGUGUAGGUCGUGGACCCAUCCCUAAGUCCCUCUUACCAGGGCCCUGGCUGGAGCUGCUCGGGUAGGAGAAGAAAGACACGCACCUCACAGGGGAGGAAGGAACUGGAGCAAUAAUGUGGAGCUGGGAGACAAGGACUCAAGGGCUAGCCUUGGGAAACAAGCCCCGCCAGCCUGAUCAUCACGGAAUUUAAACAGACAACAAAGUCGAGAUCCCACAAGACCAAGAUAGAAAGAAAGAUCACAGUUCACACAUUCUCCAGGCUGUGUGGCUCAGAGGAAGAGAGAGGCAUUUAUUCCCUAGGCUGGUGGUGGAGUGGGUGGAUGGCCGGUGGCUUUCCUGUGGAUCAAUGAAAGAAGAGGAUAGAAGUUGGAGUUCCCAAUCCAGCAGAGGGAGAGGAGGGAACAUUCUAUACACCAUGAAUGGAUGGUACAUACGUGUGCACGUGUACACACACACACACACACACACACUCACUCACUCACACCCACCCACUCACUCAC
rnacentral:lncRNA from 1 species